rfam:Oryza meridionalis cultivar OR44 (W2112) chromosome 11, whole genome shotgun sequence.
ACUACCUCCACCCCAGAAAGACCGUUUAUGUCACGUUCGAUUAUCCGUCUUAUUUUGAAAAAAUAUAAUUAGUAUUUUUAGUGUUAUUAGAUGAUAAAAUAUUAAUAGUAUUUUAUGUGUGAUUAAUCUUUUAUAAUUUUUUUAAAUAAGACAAUUGGUCAAACGUUGGACACGGAUAUCCAUGGCUGCACUUAUU